CAGCAGCCGCGGUAAUACGAAGGGGGCUAGCGUUGUUCGGAAUUACUGGGCGUAAAGCGCACGUAGGCGGAUAUUUAAGUCAGGGGUGAAAUCCCAGAGCUCAACUCUGGAACUGCCUUUGAUACUGGGUAUCUUGAGUAUGGAAGAGGUGAGUGGAAUGCCGAGUGUAGAGGUGAAAUUCGUAGAUAUUCGGAGGAACACCAGUGGCGAAGGCGGCUCACUGGUCCAUUACUGACGCUGAGGUGCGAAAGCGUGGGGAGCAAACAGGAUUAGAUACCCGUGUAGUCCCUGUCUCUUAUAC
rnacentral:rRNA from 1 species